GACGAACGCUGGCGGCAGGCUUAACACAUGCAAGUCGAACGCAUCCUUCGGGGUGAGUGGCAGACGGGUGAGUAACGCGUGGGAACGUGCCCUUCAGUUCGGGAUAACCCAGGGAAACUUGGGCUAAUACCGGAUACGUGCGAGAGCAGAAAGAUUUAUCGCUGAAGGAUCGGCCCGCGGCUGAUUAGCUAGGUGGUGGGGUAAUGGCCCACCAAGGCGACGAUCAGAAGCUGGUCUGAGAGGAUGCUCAGCCACAUUGGGACUGGGACACGGCCCAAAAUCCUACGGGGGGCAGCAUGGAGGAAUAUUGGACAAUGGGCGCAAGCCUGAUCCAGCCAUGCCGCGUGAGUGAUGAAGGCCUUAGGUUUGUAAAGCUCUUUCGUCCGGGACGAUAAUGACGGUACCGGAAGAAGAAGCCCCGGCUAACUUCGUGCCAGCCGCCGCGGUAA
rnacentral:rRNA from 1 species